UCUCUGAUAGCUCAGUUGGUAAAGGAUCUGCCUGCAAUGCAGGAGACCCUGGUUCAAUUCCUGGGUCAGGAA
rnacentral:tRNA from 1 species